rfam:Environmental sequence XZS20426.g2, whole genome shotgun sequence.
AAAGUUUCAUACAGUGAAGGAGUAGCGAUCCACACUGGCUCCGAGUCAUGUGCCUUGGUUCGCAAGAGCGAGGGUGAAGCGUUGACAGGGGUACGUGCAGGCGAGGUAUUGAGCCGCGAAAAUGAACCACCAUCGCGCAAGCGGUGGCCACUUCUGGGUGCCGACGCUUUUGAACGGAGCGAAAGGCAAAACUGGAGGCGUCGCAAUGGCGAGACGCUCUCGGACCCGGCGCGGUCUACGACCC